UCAGCCUUAAUAUGUAGAGAAAAAAUAUAUAUACACAUAUUUUAUAGUCAUUGAAUCAAAUGGAAACACCAAUAGUAUUGAUGAGCAUACUUGUGUGUGUCAUACUUGCUAAGGCAAGAUUAGCCAAUACUCGUGAUUCUUCAUUAUAAAGAAUUAUCAAAAGUUCAACCCUUCAAUCCUCUUCAAAGAAACAUUAUCACACAUUCCAGAGGAAAAUAUAAGAACCAAUUAAAUCGCAUGAGCAAGUCCACACGCAAUAUUUAUCAAGUUAUUUACACCAAAGAAAAGGAAAACACGGGUAAUAAAACGGUACUUUUGCGGAUUCUCAUAUAAUAGGAAACAAAUAACAUGAUAUUCAAUAAGAUUGAUUAAUUAAUUACCAAAAUUUGCAAUAUUUCGAUUAUGCAUAGAUAGAACAUAAUUCUUGUAAGAGAAAUUCAAUCUUUAUAUGUAUAGAAGCAAGAUAUCAAGUUUUCGAGAUUUUAGCAACAAACAUGUCAGGAUCAAAUAACAAAAUCAAAGACCCGUACAUCAAAACUUUAAAUUUUAUCAAAUACCCAUUUCCUUGAAUCUAUUGAUUAUCAAAACCCAUAUGACUUCAGGCAGUUUUCUCCGGACGACAAGACGGACCUUGUGGUGGUGUCCAAAUUCAGUUUUGGGCAAAAUUGUGGUUCUGGACUAUUUUGCCCCUUGCACGUUCGGUAGUUUUUCAAUUUUGGGUGUUGUAGGUUGCAAGUUCUUCGUGAUUUGAUUGAGAUUUUUU
rnacentral:lncRNA from 1 species